GGGCAUUUCCGUCAUUACACUGUCCUUAGCUACAGUGUUUAGUUGCAUUGGGCUUUAGUAUAUAUAAAUUUUUUCACUAACCCUCUUAGACUCACUCACGAAACCCUACACUAUUUCUCUCCCGAUCUGAGACUAACCCUACCUCAUCGGCCGCCAUCUCUAUCGCGCGCUCUCUCUGUCUCUCUGUCUCUCUCUCAACUCGUCUCUAUCGCGCUCGCUCUCUCUCUCUCUCUCUCUCUCUCUCUCUCUCUCUCUCUCUUAGUCACAUCUUUAAGUCUCUUAGGGGUCGUUUGGUACACAGGCUUGGCUUGGACUGGAUUGGACUAAAUUUAGUAUCAUGUUUGUUUCAUUUAAUUCUAGUCUUAGAUGGGAUUGCAGAUACCGGGCCCACCAAAAAUACCUCACUAGGAGGGGACUACUAAACCCAUGUAGAAAGGGAGGAUUAGCUAGUCCUAUGUUCACCAAUAUAUAAGAUGCAUAUAUUAUAUUGUAAUACUAAUAACAUAUAUUAUUAUUAUUAUUAUUAUUAUUAUUAUUAUUAUUAUUACAUACACAUAUACUAUAAUGUACAUAUAUACAUGUAUAUACACAUAUACAUGUAUAUAUAUAAAUACAUAUAUACAUAUAUAAUAUAUAUAAAUACAUAUAGAUAUAUACACAUAUAUUAUUAUUAUAAUAUACUCAUAUACACAUACAUAUUAAUAUUAUAAUAAUACAUACAUGUAUACAUGUAUAUAUGUAAUAUAUAUUAUAUUAUAUAUUAAUGUACAUAUAUACACGUAUAUACAUAUAUAUAUAUAAACACAUAUAUACAUAUAUAAUAUAUAAAUACAUAUAGAUAUAUACACGUAUAUUAUUAUUAUAAUAUACUCAUAUACAAAUACAUAUUAAUAUUAUAAUAAUAGCAUACAUGUAUAUAUGUAAUAUAUAUAUAAGUAUAUAUACAUAUAUGUGUAUAUAUAUUAUACCCAUGUAUGUAUUAUAAUAUACAUAUACACACGUAUAUACACAUAUACAUUAUAUAUUUAUACUAUAUGUAUAUAUAUUAUAAUAUACAUAUAUACAUGUAUAUUAUUAUUAUAACAUACCCAUAUAUAUUAUCUAUUAUAAUAUACAUAUAUAUGUAUAUGUAUUAUACCCAUGUAUAUAUUAUAAUAUAUAGAUACACCUAUAUACACAUAUAUUAUAUACAUGUAUAUACGUAUAUAUAUAUGUAUAUUAUAAUAUAUAAUAUAUAUACAUAUAUUAUAUAUACAUAUGUAUUUUAUAAUAUAUAUAAUGUAUAUGUAUAUAUAAAUACAUAUAUAAUAUACAUAUAUACACUUAUAUACAUGUAUAUUAUUAUUAUUAUUAUAACAUACCCAUAUAUAUUAUAUAUAUUAUAUUAUACAUACAUAUAUAUAAAUAUAUGUAUAUGUAUUAUACCCAUGUAUAUUAUAAUAUACAUAUAUACACCUAUAUACACUUAUAUAUAUAUAUGUAUGUACGUUUAUAUUAUUUAAAAUAUAUAAUAUUAUUAUAAUAUACUUAUAUACAUGUAUAUAUACAUAUAUAUAUUAUAUGUAUGUAUAUAUACAUAUAUAUUAUAUAUAUUAUAAAAUACAUAUAUACAUAUAUAUAUAGAUAUUUUUGAAAACAUAAAAAAAAUUCUAAUCAUAGUCCAAGCAUACACCAAACGCAGGAUAAGUGUUAUCCAACUUAGACCAAGCCAAGCCAAGCCAAACCAGUCCCUAAACAUAGUCCAUGCCAAGACAGUCCUGUGUACCAAACGAGCCCUUAGAGACGCGAGACUCAUUCUCUUUCUCCAAACCUAACCAAACAUCAAUCCAAUAUCAUUGAUUUUUGGAGCGAAUCCUUGUAAAUUUUGGAGGGCUCUGGUUCAUUCUAAGGUAAUUUGUAUGUAUUUGGUUUGGAUUCUUAGUUGUUUUCAUUUUCCCUAAUUUAGUAGAUUAUUAGGGUUUCGAAAUUUUGGUAUUCUGUUGAAAUUAACGCAAUUUUUUCUUAAUUUUGCAGUUGUUGUGCUUAGUCUCUGUGGGUUUGGAUUAAUAGGCAAAAUUGAAGGUAUAAAUAUUUCUAUCUCAAUCUCUGUGUGUGGCUUAAAAGGAAUGGGAGAAUUAGAAUUAUAUAUUUUUAAAUCAUCAGCUCCACAUGGCUUUACUCUAGAUGUAUGGAUUUUUGGUAUUUUCUUUCUUUAUGUGAAUAUGAUCUGACCUUCAAUUUUAAUCUUCCUGUGUUCUGUUUGUUCUGCAGAUUGUUGCGUUGCAGCUUUCUGGUAAGCACUCUUAUACUAUGACAUUUUCAUGUCAAUGAUUUCAUUGUAUACUCUGUUCAAUUUUUCUGUACUCAGUGUUGUGAAUUAUCUAAUUUGUUCUUUGUAACAUGAUCACAGUGGUCCGAAGUGCCUCGAAUUGUGUCUUUGGACUGAGGUAUCGUAUUAAUAUAAUUGAUUUCGAUGUGAUAAAAUUUAUGAAUAAAUUAGCAAUGUGGUUUUCAUCAAUUUGAAAGAUGAAAUUCAGGCUUAGCUUUGCCCUUCUGCACUCUAUUACUACAUUUUCCUAGACGUAGACAUACAUGGAAUUUAGUUUUGUUUAUGUUUGGAUGCUUUCUUUAUUGUUUUCAGAUUUAAUUUCUGAUUUUUUUAUCUGUGUAUUUUAGGCUCGAUUGUUAGCCUUGAAUCUGUUUCAAUUUAUUUAAUUGAGUUGUCUUGAAUCUGUAUUUUUGGCAUGAAUCUACUUAACUUGUUGUUGAUUAAAUGCAUUCAUUCUUUUAUUUGUUUUCUCCCUUUUUUCCUUAUGUAGCAUGUUUGUGUUAGUAUCUUAUUGAUGAAUGAAUGCUAAUAUUUGGGUUAAUUAGUUUUUUUAUUGAAUAAUUAUUUAUUGAUUGAAUGACUGGUCUAUAUUUGUUUUUCAAAGGUUUAGAUUCUGUCAUUUUGUGCUGAACUAAUCAUUUCCUGCUAUGAUAUUCUAUAGUUGUGAUAUUUGAUCAGGAUGCAGGUUUGACACUUUGUCGAAUUGGAACAAUGAUGAUGGAGAAGCCAUGGGAGCUGCAAAACAUGUUUUGUUUGCAGCUCCCUUAACUGAUACAAGUGAAUAUAUUUGGUGCUUUACCUUUUUUUUUUUUUGGUCAUGGGUUUUAAAAUUUAAUUUCGUAGUUUUAUGAUGAUUGUGAAAUUUAAUUUGAUAGUUUAGAUACUUUUAAAAAAAAAAAAAAAAAACAGGUUAUAGUUGAAUUUACAUAAUUUGGGCAAGGAAAACCUUUAAUUGAUGGGCUGCUUGAAAAACUGGUAUUGUUAAAAAAAUAAACAAUAUUGGGCUUUUGAAAAUUCAACAAUAUUGGGCUUUUGGAAAGAAAAAAAAAUUGAUUUUGGGCUCAACCCAGAACCGACUAAAAAACCAGAACCGAACCUUGUAUGUUCGGGUCGGCCCAACUUCGGGUUUCAUUUUUGACCCGAUCCAACUCGAGAACCGCAGUAUUGGUCGGUUUGGCCCAUGGGUCAGUAAAAAUUUGACCUCGUGCUUCCUUCGUUAUCUCUCUAUGCAACGGUGCAAGCAGAAUUUGAAAGAAAGACUCAC
rnacentral:lncRNA from 1 species